CAAGUCGAGCGAGAACCAGGGCUUCGGCCCUGGGGAGAGCGGCGAACGGGUGCGUAUCACGUGAGCAACCUGCCUCGGAGACCGGAAUAACUCGAGGAAACUCGGGCUAAUGCCGGAUGCCCUCGGUGGACCGCAUGGUCCGGCGAGGAAAUGGAUUCCGCUCCGAGAUGGGCUCGCGGCCUAUCAGCUUGUUGGUGGGGUAACGGCCUACCAAGGCAACGACGGGUAGCUGGUCUGAGAGGACGAUCAGCCACACUGGGACAGAGACACGGCCCAGACUCCUACGGGAGGCAGCAGUAGGGAAUCUUGCGCAAUGGGGGAAACCCUGACGCAGCGACGCCGCGUGCGGGAUGAAGGCCUUCGGGUCGUAAACCGCUUUCAGCAGGGACGAAAUUGACGGUACCUGCAGAAGAAGGCCCGGCCAACUACGUGCCAGCAGCCGCGGUGAUACGUAGGGGUCUAGCGUUGUCCGGAAUUAUUGGGCGUAAAGAGCUCGUAGGCGGUUCGGCAAGUCGGAUGUGAAAUCUCCACGCUUAACGUGGAGGGGCCAUUCGAAACUGCCGUGACUCGAGUCCGGUAGGGGAGUUCGGAAUUCCCGGUGUAGCGGUGAAAUGCGCAGAUAUCGGGAGGAACACCAGUGGCGAAGGCGGAACUCUGGGCCGGAACUGACGCUGAGGAGCGAAAGCGUGGGGAGCGAGCAGGAUUAGAUACCCUGGUAGUCCACGCCGUAAACGUUGGGCACUAGGUGUGGGGUUCUAUCGACGGAUUCCGUGCCGUAGCUAACGCAUUAAGUGCCCCGCCUGGGGAGUACGGCCGCAAGGCUAAAACUCAAAGGAAUUGACGGGGGCCCGCACAAGCGGCGGAACCGUGUGGCUCAAUUCGAUGCAACGCGAAAAACCUUACCUGGGCUU
rnacentral:rRNA from 1 species